rnacentral:rRNA from 1 species
GACGAACCGGUGCGAACGUUAUUCGGAAUCACUGGGCUUAAAGCGCGUGUAGGCGGGACGGCACGUCGGUCGCUGAAAGCCCCCCGGCUCAACCGGGGAACGGGCGCCGAUACGACCGCCCUCGAGGAACGUAGGGGGACCUGGAACUUCCGGUGGAGCGGUGAAAUGCGUUGAGAUCGGAAGGAACGCCCGUGGCGAAAGCGAGGUCCUGGACGUUUACUGACGCUGAGACGCGAAAGCCAGGGGAGCGAACGGG